rnacentral:pre_miRNA from 1 species
CACAUACUCCCUCCGUCCGAAAAUACUUGUCAUCAAAAUGGAUAAAAAGGGAUGUAUCUAGAACUAAUAUACAUCUAGAUACAUCCCCUUUUAUUCAUUUUGAUGACAAGUAUUUCCGGACGGAGGGAGUACUAG